CCUACGGGAGACAGCAGUGAGGAAUAUUGGUCAAUGGGCGCGAGCCUGAACCAGCCAAGUCGCGUGAGGGAAGACGGUCCUAUGGAUUGUAAACCUCUUUUGUCGGGGAGCAAAAGACGCCACGCGUGGCGUUCCGAGAGUACCCGAAGAAAAAGCAUCGGCUAACUCCGUGCCAGCAGCCGCGGUAAUACGGAGGAUGCGAGCGUUAUCCGGAUUUAUUGGGUUUAAAGGGUGCGCAGGCGGAAGAUGAAGUCAGCGGUAAAAUUGAGAGGCUCAACCUCUUCGAGCCGUUGAAACUGGUUGUCUUGAGUGAGCGAGAGGUAUGCGGAAUGCGUGGUGUAGCGGUGAAAUGCAUAGAUAUCACGCAGAACUCCGAUUGCGAAGGCAGCAUACCGGCGCUCAACUGACGCUCAUGCACGAAAGUGUGGGUAUCGAACAGGAUUAGAUACCCUGGUAGUC
rnacentral:rRNA from 1 species